rnacentral:rRNA from 1 species
UACGGAGGUGGCAAGCGUUGUUCGGAAUUACUGGGCGUAAAGGGCGCGUAGGCGGUCCGAUAAGUCCUGUGUGAAAUCCCUCGGCUCAACUGAGGAACUGCACGGGAGACUGUCGGGCUUGAGUUCGGGAGAGGGAAGCGGAAUUCCGGGUGUAGCGGUGAAAUGCGUAGAUAUCAGGAGGAACACCGGUGGCGAAGGCGGGUCUCUGGGCAGUAACUGACGCUGAGGAGCGAAAGCGUGGGGAGCGAACAGG